UUCCGGUUGAUCCUGCCGGACCUGACUGCUAUCGGAUUGAUACUAAGCCAUGCGAGUCUUUGCAGUAAUGCAAGGCAUACGGCUCAGUAACACGUAGUCAACCUACCCUAUGGACGAGAAUAAUCUCGGGAAACUGAGCAUAAUUCUUGAUAGAUCAUAAUGCCUGGAAUGGUUUAUGGUUAAAAUGAUUCGUCGCCAUAGGAUGGGACUGCGGCCUAUCAGCUUGUUGGUGAGGUAAUGGCCCACCAAGGCGAUUACAGGUACGGGCUCUGAGAGGAGAAGCCCGGAGAUGGGUACUGAGACACGGACCCAGGCCCUAUGGGGCGCAGCAGGCGAGAAAACUUUGCAAUGUGCGAAAGCACGACAAGGUUAAUCCGAGUGAUUUCUGCUAAAGAAAUCUUUUACCAGUCGUAAAACCGCUGGUGAAUAAGGGGUGGGCAAGUUCUGGUGUCAGCCGCCGCGGUAAAACCAGCACCUCAAGUGGUCAGGAUGAUUAUUGGGCCUAAAGCAUCCGUAGCCGGCUUUGUAAGUUUUCGGUUAAAUCCAUGUGCUCAACGCAUGGGCUGCCGAAAAUACUGCAUGGCUAGGGAGUGGGAGAGGUAGACGGUACUCAGUAGGUAGGGGUAAAAUCCUUUGAUCUAUUGAUGACCACCUGUGGCGAAGGCGGUCUACCAGAACACGUUCGACGGUGAGGGAUGAAAGCUGGGGGAGCAAACCGGAUUAGAUACCCGGGUAGUCCCAGCUGUAAACGAUGCAGACUCGAUGAUGCAUUGGCAUAAUAGCCAUUGCAGUGUCGCAGGGAAGCCGUUAAGUCUGCCGCCUGGGAAGUACGUACGCAAGUAUGAAACUUAAAGGAAUUGGCGGGGGAGCACCACAAGGGGUGAAGCCUGCGGUUCAAUUGGAGUCAACGCCGGG
rnacentral:rRNA from 1 species